UGAGUAACGCGUAUCCAACUUCCCCCUACUCAGGCAUAGCCCGGUGAAAACCGGAUUAACUCCUGAUAGUUUCACUAGAUGGCAUCUGACGGUGAAUAAGCUUUGCGGUAAGGAUGGGGAUGCGUCUGAUUAGCUUGUUGGCGGGUAACGGCCCACCAAGGCGACGAUCAGUAGGGUUCUGAGAGGAAGGUCCCCCACAUUGGAACUGAGACACGGUCCAAACUCCUACGGGAGGCAGCAGUGAGGAAUAUUGGUCAAUGGGCGCGAGCCUGAACCAGCCAAGUAGCGUGCAGGAAGACGGCCCUAUGGGUUGUAAACUGCUUUUGUAUGGGAAUAAAGUCAGGGACGUGUCCCUGUUUGCAUGUACCAUAAGAAUAAGGACCGGCUAAUUCCGUGCCAGCCGCUGC
rnacentral:rRNA from 1 species